rnacentral:rRNA from 1 species
AUGGCAAGCACCAACAUGGCGUCGGCCACCUCCAGAUUCAUGCUGGCGGCGGGCAUCCCCAGCGGCACCAACGGCGGCGUGAGCAGCCGCGUCAGCUUCGUCCCCUCCAACCGACUGGGCUUGAAGCUCGUGGCCCGCGCCGAGGAGGAGCCCACUGCCGCCGCGCCGGCGGAACCAGCACCGGCCGCGGAGGAGAAACCGGACGCCGCCGUGGCCACCAAGGAGCCCGCCAAAGCCAAGCCGCCGCCGAGGGGACCCAAGAGGGGAACCAAGGUGAAGAUUCUGAGGAGGGAGUCCUACUGGUACAACGGGACCGGAUCCGUCGUCACGGUUGAUCAGGAUCCCAACACCCGUUACCCGGUGGUGGUGCGUUUCGCCAAGGUGAACUACGCCGGCGUGUCGACCAACAACUACGCCCUGGACGAGAUCAAGGAGGUUGCUGCUUAA